rnacentral:lncRNA from 1 species
UGCGUUCCCUUGGCGGCUCCCUGUGUUCGCGAUUGGUCUGGGGGGGUUGGGAGAGAAAUGGAAGAGAAAAGGAGGGGGCGGGUAGAAGGGGGACCAGGAGGAAAAUGAAGAGGGGAAAAAAAUCUUGAAAAAUAGCAGUCUACCCAUUCUACCUAGACUGCGUUGUGUCGCACCCCCACCCCACGCGAGAGAUUUGUAAAGCGCGCGCCGCGGAUGUACGUUCAAGCUAAUACCUAUAGACAGAUGUGUCCCCACUGGUUUCAAAGUUUCCUCUUCCCUUCACGCGCGGGCCCCCAUCUCUGUCCUGCAGGAGGUGGGAAAGGAAGGCUUGCCUCGCGCAGAGCUCCUGUGGCCAAGCUUCUUGGAAAUCCGCCACUGCAACUUUGUGCAGCCGCGGCGCGCCGGCGGCGACCCUCUUUGUUUAAGUUCUCGGAUGCCAUCAUCUGGGAAACCUGCAGCCCUGUACCAGCGCGGGGCCCGCGCGUGCGAGUCCGACCGCUUGCUGCGGCUGCUCGCUCUCCAACCCCCCCUCCCUCCUUUCCUCCCUCCCACCCACCCUCCUCUGGGAUUCUUGCAAGUAUCGUGCGUGCCCUUGUGAGUUUGGAGGGUGCCGGUCAACGAAGCCACGCGAGGUAUUUGAAAGGCAAUCAGCCCGACCGUCCCCCUAGAUUCAUCGGAGAAGGAACUCAGUGAAUAUUGCCCUGGGUCCUGGUAAUUCCACCUACUGAAGACAACUGCCCCUUCUGCUCAUAUUUCCUGAGUCAACAUGGCCGUUCCUAACUUUGAAGAGACUUUAGACAUUCUUUGUUACAAUGAACCUAGAAGAAAGAAGAGAAAUAAUAACUGCCAUGGAAGGAUGCUCCUCCUGCCAAUUGGCACUUAUCAAUGACAUCGAGGGAGAGGGACAGAGUGCCUAGGUAUGAGCCUUCAUCAAGUGGUAUGAAGGCCCUACCCCAACAGAAAGUGCUGAUGUGAUGAAAUGGUGCUUUGGACAAGACUUUUCCUCCAAGUUGGUCCUAUCCAGGGGUUGGCAAACAGGGUCCCUGGACAUCAUCCAUGUGGCAUACUCUUAUGAAUAAAGUUCUAUAGGACACAGACCUGC